rnacentral:rRNA from 1 species
GACAGAGGGUGCCAGCGUUGUUCGGAAUUACUGGGUGUAAAGGGUUCGUAGGCGGUGUAGCAAGUCGGGAGUGAAAUCUCUGGGCUUAACCCAGAGGCUGCUUCCGAAACUGCUGUGCUUGAGUGUGGGAGAGGCGCGUGGAAUUGCAGGUGUAGCGGUGAAAUGCGUAGAUAUCUGCAGGAACACCCGUGGCGAAAGCGGCGCGCUGGACCACUACUGACGCUGAGGAACGAAAGCUAGGGGAGCAAACAGG